GAUAUUGGUCAAUGGAGGCAACUCUGACCAGCCAUGCCGCGUGUAGGAAGAAGGCGUUCUGCGUUGUAAACUACUUUUGAUUGGGAACAAAUGACUCUUGCGAGAGUAGCUGAGUGUACCAAUAGAAUAAGCCACGGCUAACUACGUGCCAGCAGCCGCGGUAAUACGUAGGUGGCAAGCGUUGUCCGGAUUUAUUGGGUUUAAAGGGUGCGUAGGCGGCUUGAUAAGUCAGUGGUGAAAGCCGAUCGCUUAACGAUCGAACUGCCAUUGAUACUGUCGGGCUUGAGUAUAGUUGAGGUAGGCNGGAAUUGACAGUGUAGCGGUGAAAUGCAUAGAUAUUGUCAAGAACACCAAUUGCGAAGGCAGCUUACUAAAGUAUAACUGACGCUGAGGCACGAAAGUGCGGGGAUCAAACAGGAUUAGAUACCCUGGUAGUCCGCACCGUAAACGAUGAUCACUCGCUGUGUGCGAUAAACAGUACGCGGCCAAGCGAAAGCGAUAAGUGAUCCACCUGGGGAGUACGCCCGCAAGGGUGAAACUCAAAGAAAUUGACGGA
rnacentral:rRNA from 1 species